rnacentral:rRNA from 1 species
CAACCUGCCCACCACUUGGGGAUAACCUUGCGAAAGUAAGACUAAUACCCAAUGAUAUCUCUANNAGACAUCUGAAAGAGAUUGAAGAUUUAUCGGUGAUGGAUGGGGAUGCGUCUGAUUAGCUUGUUGGCGGGGUAACGGCCCACCAAGGCGACGAUCAGUAGGGGUUCUGAGAGGAAGGUCCCCCACAUUGGAACUGAGACACGGUCCAAACUCCUACGGGAGGCAGCAGUGAGGAAUAUUGGUCAAUGGACGAGAGUCUGAACCAGCCAAGUAGCGUGCAGGAUGACGGCCCUAUGGGUUGUAAACUGCUUUUAUAAGGGAAUAAAGUGAGUCUCGUGAGACUUUUUGCAUGUACCUUAUGAAUAAGGACCGGCUAAUUCCGUGCCAGCAGCCGCGGUAAUACGGAAGGUCCGGGCGUUAUCCGGAUUUAUUGGGUUUAAAGGGAGCGUAGGCCGGAGAUUAAGCGUGUUGUGAAAUGUAGAUGCUCAACAUCUGCACUGCAGCGCGAACUGGUUUCCUUGAGUACGCACAAAGUGGGCGGAAUUCGUGGUGUAGCGGUGAAAUGCUUAGAUAUCACGAAGAACUCCGAUUG